UAAUACGGAAGGGGCAAGCGUUGUUCGGAAUCAUUGGGCGUAAAGGGCGCGUAGGUGGUUUUGUGUGUCUACCGUGAAAGCGUACGGCUCAACCGUAUUUAGUCGGUAGAAACUGCAGGACUUGAGGCUGGGAGGGGCUGGUGGAAUUCCCUGUGUAGCGGUGAAAUGCGUAGAGAUGGGGGAGAACACUCGUGGCGAAGGCGGCCAGCUAGACCAGUUCUGACACUGAGGCGCGACAGCGUGGGGAGCAAACAGGAUUAGAUACCCUGGUAGUCCACGCUGUAAACGAUGGGCACUAGGUGCCGGCGGUCUUGAUCCCGUCGGUGCCGGCGCUAACGCAGUAAGUGCCCCGCCUGGGGAGUACGGUCGCAAGGCUG
rnacentral:rRNA from 1 species